CAGUACUGCCACCCGGAUUCACCGCGGCCCGGUUCCUGGUUCAACGGCCGCGUGCUGUCGUUUUCGAAGGUCAAGCUCUUCUCCAACAAGAAAAAGAUCCCGAACCCGCCUCCGAUCACUCUGAGGUGUUACCGCACUUACCACAUCCAAGUGAAUGUUGGGAUUGUGGACGAUAACGGAUACAUCGUCAGCGCAUCGGUCGUCCGGCAAUCUGUUGGUGCCGACUUCAUUGCCGUCACCAGUAGCAUUACUAGGCGUCCAGUCAACAGCGGUACAAGACAGGCGCGCUGACUGAAGUUCUCAAGGCUGUUUAUGUAAUAACAGUAAUAAAUAAAUAUUUAUUUGUGA
rnacentral:lncRNA from 1 species